rnacentral:rRNA from 1 species
UACGUAGGGUGCGAGCGUUAAUCGGAAUUACUGGGCGUAAAGCGUGCGCAGGCGGCGCGUUAAGACAGGUGUGAAAGCCCCGAGCUUAACUUGGGAAUUGCGCUUGUGACUGGCGUGCUGGAGUGUGGCAGAGGGAGGUGGAAUUCCACGUGUAGCAGUGAAAUGCGUAGAGAUGUGGAGGAACACCGAUGGCGAAGGCAGCCUCCUGGGCCAGCACUGACGCUCAUGCACGAAAUCGUGGGGAGCAAACAGG